rnacentral:rRNA from 1 species
CCGUUACCCCCCCCCUUUUUGGAGUUUGGAACAGGCUCAGAUUGAACGCUGGCGGCAGGCCUAACACAUGCAAGUCGAGCGGAUGAAGGGAGCUUGCUCCUGGAUUCAGCGGCGGACGGGUGAGUAAUGCCUAGGAAUCUGCCUGGUAGUGGGGGAUAACGUCCGGAAACGGGCGCUAAUACCGCAUACGUCCUGAGGGAGAAAGUGGGGGAUCUUCGGACCUCACGCUAUCAGAUGAGCCUAGGUCGGAUUAGCUAGUUGGUGGGGUAAAGGCCUACCAAGGCGACGAUCCGUAACUGGUCUGAGAGGAUGAUCAGUCACACUGGAACUGAGACACGGUCCAGACUCCUACGGGAGGCAGCAGUGGGGAAUAUUGGACAAUGGGCGAAAGCCUGAUCCAGCCAUGCCGCGUGUGUGAAGAAGGUCUUCGGAUUGUAAAGCACUUUAAGUUGGGAGGAAGGGCAGUAAGUUAAUACCUUGCUGUUUUGACGUUACCAACAGAAUAAGCACCGGCUAACUUCGUGCCAGCAGCCGCGGUAAUACGAAGGGUGCAAGCGCUUAAUCGGAAUUACUGGGCGUAAAGCGCGCGUAGGUGGUUCAGCAAGUUGGAUGUGAAAUCCCCGGGCUCUAACCUGGGAACUGCAUCCAAAACUACUGAGCUAGAGUACGGUCUUGGGUGGUGGAAUUUCCUGUGUAGCGGUGUAAAUGGGUAGAUAUAGGAAGGAACACCAGUGGCGAAGGCGACCACCUGGACUGAUACUGACACUGAGGUGCGAAAGCGUGGGGAGCACCCAGGAUUAGAUACCCUGGUAGUCCACGCCGUAAACGAUGUCGACUAGCCGUUGGGAUCCUUGAGAUCUUAGUGGCGCAGCUAACGCGAUAAGUCGACCGCCUGGGGAGUACGGCCGCAAGGUUAAAACUCAAAUGAAUUGACGGGGGCCCGCACAAGCGGUGGAGCAUGUGGUUUAAUUCGAAGCAACGCGAAGAACCUUACCUGGCCUUGACAUGCUGAGAACUUUCCAGAGAUGGAUUGGUGCCUUCGGGAACUCAGACACAGGUGCUGCAUGGCUGUCGUCAGCUCGUGUCGUGAGAUGUUGGGUUAAGUCCCGUAACGAGCGCAACCCUUGUCCUUAGUUACCAGCACCUCGGGUGGGCACUCUAAGGAGACUGCCGGUGACAAACCGGAGGAAGGUGGGGAUGACGUCAAGUCAUCAUGGCCCUUACGGCCAGGGCUACACACGUGCUACAAUGGUCGGUACAAAGGGUUGCCAAGCCGCGAGGUGGAGCUAAUCCCAUAAAACCGAUCGUAGUCCGGAUCGCAGUCUGCAACUCGACUGCGUGAAGUCGGAAUCGCUAGUAAUCGUGAAUCAGAAUGUCACGGUGAAUACGUUCCCGGGCCUUGUACACACCGCCCGUCACACCAUGGGAGUGGGUUGCUCCAGAAGUAGCUAGUCUAACCGCAAGGGGGACGGUUACCACGGAGUGAUUCAUGACUGGGGUGAAGUCUAAGGGGGGAGACACCGAAAAAGGGGCCCCCGAA